AACGAACGCUGGCGGCAUGCCUAACACAUGCAAGUCGAACGUGAUCCGGGGCUUGCUCCGGUGAAAGUGGCGGACGGGUGAGUAACGCGUGGGAACCUGCCCUUUGGUCGGGGAUAACUGCGGGAAACUGCGGCUAAUACCCGAUGUACCCGAGAGGGGAAAGAUUUAUCGCCGAAGGAUGGGCCCGCGUCGGAUUAGGUAGUUGGUGGGGUAACGGCCUACCAAGCCUUCGAUCCGUAGCUGGUCUGAGAGGAUGAUCAGCCACACUGGGACUGAGAUACGGCCCAGACUCCUACGGGAGGCAGCAGUGGGGAAUAUUGGACAAUGGGCGCAAGCCUGAUCCAGCAAUGCCGCGUGAGUGAAGAAGGCCUUAGGGUUGUAAAGCUCUUUCGGCGGGGACGAUGAUGACGGUACCCGCAGAAGAAGCCCCGGCUAACUCCGUGCCAGCAGCCGCGGUAAGGCACGACUGU
rnacentral:rRNA from 1 species